AGCGAACGCUGGCGGCAGGCCUAACACAUGCAAGUCGAACGAACUCUUCGGAGUUAGUGGCGGACGGGUGAGUAACACGUGGGAACGUGCCCUUUGGUACGGAAUAACUCAGGGAAACUUGAGCUAAUACCGUAUGUGCCCUUCGGGGAAAGAUUUAUCGCCAUUGGAGCGGCCCGCGUCUGAUUAGCUAGUUGGUGAGGUAAAGGCUCACCAAGGCUACGAUCAGUAGCUGGUCUGAGAGGAUGAUCAGCCACAUUGGGACUGAGACACGGCCCAAACUCCUACGGGAGGCAGCAGUGGGGAAUCUUGCGCAAUGGGCGAAAGCCUGACGCAGCCAUGCCGCGUGAAUGAUGAAGGUCUUAGGAUUGUAAAAUUCUUUCACCGGGGACGAUAAUGACGGUACCCGGAGAAGAAGCCCCGGCUAACUUCGUG
rnacentral:rRNA from 1 species